UACGGAGGGUGCAAGCGUUAUCCGGAUUUACUGGGUUUAAAGGGUGCGUAGGUGGGCAGGUAAGUCAGUGGUGAAAUCUCCGAGCUUAACUCGGAAACUGCCAUUGAUACUAUCUGUCUUGAAUAUCGUGGAGGUAAGCGGAAUAUGUCAUGUAGCGGUGAAUGCUUAGAUAUGACAUAGAACACCGAUUGCGAAGGCAGCUUACUACACGAUCAUUGACGCUGAGGCACGAAAGCGUGGGGAGCAAACGGG
rnacentral:rRNA from 1 species